rnacentral:rRNA from 1 species
GAUGAACGCUGGCGGCGUGCCUAAUACAUGCAAGUCGAGCGAACAGACGAGGAGCUUGCUCCUCUGACGUUAGCGGCGGACGGGUGAGUAACACGUGGAUAACCUACCUAUAAGACUGGGAUAACUUCGGGAAACCGGAGCUAAUACCGGAUAAUAUAUUGAACCGCAUGGUUCAAUAGUGAAAGACGGUUUUGCUGUCACUUAUAGAUGGAUCCGCGCCGCAUUAGCUAGUUGGUAAGGUAACGGCUUACCAAGGCAACGAUGCGUAGCCGACCUAAGAGGGUGAUCGGCCACACUGGAACUGAGACACGGUCCAGACUCCUACGGGAGGCAGCAGUAGGGAAUCUUCCGCAAUGGGCGAAAGCCUGACGGAGCAACGCCGCGUGAGUGAUGAAGGUCUUCGGAUCGUAAAACUCUGUUAUUAGGGAAGAACAAAUGUGUAAGUAACUAUGCACGUCUUGACGGUACCUAAUAAGAAAGCCACGGCUAACUACGUG